CUGGAAACCAAUCGGAAGACUUCCGCGUCGCGGCUCUUUCCGCCGUGAUCAGGUUACCCAGCGCCUCGGGACCUGCGUUUGAAAAGGAGAGGUCGACCUGGGAGAGCCGCUGAACGAGAUACUCUUCGGAAUCGGUCUUAGCUCAGGUACUAUGACAGGCAGCUUCUGAGGUGGCCUCCACUGAUCCCUGGCUCCUCAUAUCCAGCCCUUGGGAUUCUGAAGAAAGGAAUGUGGCAGAAGCUGCCUUGUUGUGAACUGCUCUGUGAUGAAGGCCAUGUGACAAGGAGCAGAGGGAAGCCUCCGGCCAAAAACCUGUGAGGAACUGAAUCCUUCCAGCAAUGAUGUGAGUGAGCUUGGCACAGGGGAUCCCCCCCCAAGCUGGGCCUUCAGAUUGGAUGGCCGCCCCAGCAGUCAGCAUUAACCGCAACCUCAUGGAAGACCUUCAGCCACGAGAGGCAGCCAGUUAAGUCAUGCCUGGAUUCCUGACCCAAAAAAAAAAAAAAAAAAAAACAAAAAACCUGUAAGAUAAUAAAUGUUUGUUGUCUUAA